AUUGAACGCUGGUGUCAGGCUUAACACAUGCAAGUCGAACGAGUGGCGGACGGGUGAGUAAUGCUUGGGAAUCUAGCUUAUGGAGGGGGAUAACUACGGGAAACUGUAGCUAAUACCGCAUACCAUAGGAUGAACCCAAGUGGUAUUAGCUAGUAGGUGGGGUAACGGCUCACCUAGGCGACGAUCCCGAGCUGGUCUGAGAGGAUGCACAGCCACACUGGAACUGAGACAUGGUCCAGACGCCUACGGGAGUCAGCAGGGGGGAAUAUUGCACAAGGGGCGCAAGUCUGAUGCAGCCAUGCCGCGUGUAUGAAGAAGGCCUUCGGGUUGUAAAGUACUUUCAGCGAGGAGGCGUUACUCGCAGAAGAAGCACCGGCUAACUCCGUGCCAGCCGCCGCGGUAAUUC
rnacentral:rRNA from 1 species